rnacentral:rRNA from 1 species
GAUGAACGCUGGCGGCGUGCUUAACACAUGCAAGUCGAACGAAGCACUUUAUUUGAUUUCCUUCGGGACUGAUUAUUUUGUGACUGAGUGGCGGACGGGUGAGUAACGCGUGGGUAACCUGCCUUGUACAGGGGGAUAACAGUUGGAAACGGCUGCUAAUACCGCAUAAGCGCACGGCAUCGCAUGAUGCAGUGUGAAAAACUCCGGUGGUAUAAGAUGGACCCGCGUUGGAUUAGCUAGUUGGUGAGGUAACGGCCCACCAAGGCGACGAUCCAUAGCCGACCUGAGAGGGUGACCGGCCACAUUGGGACUGAGACACGGCCCAAACUCCUACGGGAGGCAGCAGUGGGGAAUAUUGCACAAUGGGCGAAAGCCUGAUGCAGCGACGCCGCGUGAGCGAAGAAGUAUUUCGGUAUGUAAAGCUCUAUCAGCAGGGAAGAUAAUGACGGUAC